CCCUAUAGCUUUGGUCGCCGACUUCUUUUUGAUCCUUUUCCUUGGAGAAACCCAGCAGCUUUCACCUCUUUAGCUUUUCCUCUGUAACGUCAACGAAUCAUAAUCGUGAUCCAUAAAGCUCCAUCAUUUAGUGCAAUAACUAUAUAAUCUAUCUCUUCUCCUCCGAUUUUGCUGAGAAGAAAUGACGUAGAAUCUAUCUUUUCCAGGUUCUGCCAAUGUCAUUAACUCUAGAUCAAGUCAAAAUGCAAAGACUCUUUAACCAACAACCUCCCAGACCUGUCCGAGGUGGUGGACGAGGUGCUGGUCCUGCUGCGCCUCCUGUGAGAAGACCACGACCUCGACGCUACCCAGAUGUCAGCAUUGCAGAAUUGAUGGCUUCCCCAUCCCGGCUUCAGAUGCCUCUCAUACAUCCUGAGAAAGAAAACAAUGGGCUUUGGAUUAAGAUAUUGACAAAUGUCUAACUGACGAUUGUACUUCAAUCUACACCUCUGACUGGAGGGGAGCCUGGUACAAUUAUAGCAUGGUCUCUGAUGAGAUGAAACUUACCUGGUGGGGAGACUUUGUGCAAAAGUAUUAUUGGGACCCCAUUCAUGACAAUGUGGUGCGUUUACAUUGGAAGAAGACAAUGAUGUCGUUGAUCUCCAACAUCAUCAGCAAGCGCAAGCGGAGUGGCAAGAUACCUCCAUUCAUGAGUUCAGAGCACUGGGGUGCUUUGCAAACAUAUUGGGGUACUGAACCUGCUAGAAAGAAAAGCAAGUCUGCUUCUGAAAGCCGCUGCUCAGAUCAAGGAGGUCUAGGUCAACACAUCCACACUGCUGGUUCGACACGAUUUAUGAAGAUCAAAUAUGAUAUGAUGGUUGCUAAUGGUGGGAUUGAACCCUCGUUGAUUGAUCUUGUGAGAAAGACCCAUACUCGGAAAGAUGGCACAUUUGCAGAUGGUCGUGCAAAGAAAAUUGUAGAAGAUGUUGAAGCUGCAGUGACCCAUUCUGAAGGACUUGGCGUGGGGGGGUCUGCUGCAACAACACCAUCACCGCAACAACUUGAUAAGUUUUUUUAUUGAGGCUGUCCCACCUUACAAAGGGCGUGUUUAUGGCCUUGGCUCUGCUCAUUGUUAUUAUGGUGAUUCCACGCCUUCCACCUCAACUGCUAUCCCACGCACAAUGCAAUUGGAGACAAGGGUGACUUUCAGCGAAGGCAACAUGAGUUCCAUGCAAGGUAGCAUCAACUCCAUGCAAGGUAACAUCAACUCCAUGGCCACAGAGAUUGCUGCUAUCAUGGAAGCCUCACGAAUGCUACUGGAGGCAAAUGGGAUUGAUCCAUCAGUUGUCCUCAAAUCAACAACUACUAAUCCAGCGGAGCCAGCGCAGGAAGCAACUCCGGAGCAGCAGUCACCAACUUUAAACCGCCAAACACAAGCUCCUGCUACCACUCCGAUCAACUUGGGGGACAUGGAACCUCAGUCUUUUGGUGGAUACUUUGAGAAUGAUCUCAACCAGUAGCAUUAUGCUUAAUUUUGUUUUUGUAUUAAAUAGGACUAACGGCAUAUAGAGCGUAUGAAAUGCUCUCUUUUGGUAGAACAUAUUAACUGGUCUUUUUUAGUAGAACAUAUUAAUGUUCUUUGUUUGGUAUUAGAACAUGUGAAAGUUCUUUGUAUGCUAGAACAUAUGCAUGUUCUGUUUCUGUAAGAACAUAUGAAUGUCUGUUUGUAUGACUUCGUUUUAAUUAGAAAUAUUUCGGAUAUUAAUAUUUUGUUUUCUAA